UCUUUUACUUCUACUGGACUCAGCUUCCCCAGAUGCACAUCAUGAUAAUACCCGCUCUUGUGUCAAGAGUGUGACCUAGAAAUAAUUCAUUUAUUUUCAGAACAGGAUUUAAGAUCCUUCAGAGAAGAAUACGGUCUGAGUUUAACGUAGCUGCUUGGCCUUCCGGCUGCCUCUUCUUGGCUUGUACAUAUUCAAAGAAGACCAAGUUAUAAAGGAAAACACAUCUCUGCUGGAGGAGACAUAGGCACCAUGUCAGGCCCACAGAGGAUAGAUUUAUGGCAACUAGCCCAGCUAUGUGCUCACAAGUCAUGAUACUACAUGAACCAUGUGUAAUUAAUGCCACGACUACAUUCAUUGCCAUAUUUUUAUUACCACAAAACAUAGAGGGGAUGAAGGCGCUGUAUUGAAAUAGCAUAGCCAGAGGCAAGGCAAUUCGGUAGAAUGUGUAAGAAGAACCAAAAGAGGCAAUCUAACAAGAAAUUACUUGACCUCCUGCGUGUUGGUUGCUAUGAAGUCCACAAGAGAAAGGCAUGGCCCUGACCUCUAGGUGGUGAGGUGUCCAAUUCAUGCAAGUGAAAAAGCACUACGAAUAACACAGUGCUGCUCCUACAAAGCCGAACUGAUCCAUGCUAAGUGUUUACAAAGUAUCUGGCUGUUUGCUUCCUGGUAGCAUGACUAUACAGAUUGGCACAUCAGUAAAGGAGCCAGAAGAGACACUGUUCUUGCAGAUUCCUCCUUCUGUGUUACGUGGAAGGGCCCAUAGGACCCAAUGCCUCUCCUCUAAUAAUCCUUUGUCAAGUCUCUCCAUCUCUAUGAAAGCUUCCCAAAGAAAUAAGGCUAACAUUAAUGACUCUUGCGGUAAUUAAUCUCCAGUUAUAAGAAAUACUUACAGGGUACCUACUAAAUGCCAAUACUAUGCUAAGAGUUGAGGAUACAAAGCAAUACAAAACAAACUCUUGCCUUCAAGGGGUAUACACCUAGUUGAGGAGAAAGGCACAUUCUUAGGACAGAUACAUUCUCUACCACCAGCUUUUCAACAAUAAUAUCAGCCCCUUAGGGGCCCAUAGAGAGUAAUUAUUCCCAGGCAAACCUUGGCCUAGGGAUCUUAGCUCCUAACCACAUGCUAACUAACCAUAAUCCCAGAUGAUGCUGAGACAAGACGGAGCAGGAAAAUGAAGAUGGAUAAAUCAAUGUCAGCCAGAACUGUUCCUAGAGGUGCCACGUAACACUCACAUAUCAAGAGACACUUGGAUAUGAUGUAGCCCCUGCCGGACCUAAAAGGAAUGCUCUCAAUAUAUCAAAUUUCAGAGAUUUAGACACUUGCAAGAGAAGUUGUGCAUGCCUGUGACCCAUGGAAAUCCCAGUUCCUUUAUCUUGUCCAGAUGCUACACAUAGCAUUCCCUUGGGAAAACCACCCUACUGGGGCAGGAAAUUUAAAAGUCUAAGGGCAGAAUGGUCACUGGGCCCUAGCCCAGACCCAGCCCAGAAACAGACAAAGCUGUUGCACACAGAGGGCCUCACUCCCUUCCCAUUCUUCAUGCAUUUGGGACAAAGAGAGACUCAUGUGCCAAAUGGCAAGCUGCAGAUAUUAGGUUGGACAGCAGGGCCAUAAAGCUCCCACAGAAGGGGAACAUUAAAGAGGCAGUGUAAAUCCCUUGAUGGCAGCACUAAGUCUCUGUCAACACUGGCAUCAGUUUGUGCAAAACACACGGAGAAUCAAGAUGCUCAUUGUGGUUAUGUUCAGAGCUUCUGUAGAAAAAGAAAGUAAAAGUAAAGUCUAAGAAAUGCCUUUACUCUGAUUACUAUACAUGCUCACCUGGUCUCAACCCAUUUCCCUUCCAUACAAUUCUGUCCUCCAAUCCUUUUCAUUCCAAAUCACCCACUCAUGGUACCUUCUCCCACUCUAUUCCAUUCCCAUCCAUCUCUCCUCUGUCUAUCCUAUAUCCUAUCCUGAUUACAACUGUUUUGUUCAAUUUCAUCCCAUAUUUCACAAUUCAACUCAGCCUGAAACUAUAUAUCCUAACCAAGCUAGCCCAUCUAAUAUACAACAAUAUUUUUAGUAAUCUUCCUGAGCUAGUGUGCUCAUUAUGGAAAAAGAUACAAAUAGGGAGAAAUUGGGACUCCACUUACAUGGACUCCAAAUCUGCCUACCAUGUUCAAAUACCCUAAAUUAUUGAGUAAGGUCAAUAUGUGAAGGAAUUCCAGUGGUUCAAUUCUCAGCCUUCUUAAUUGGACAUUUUUAUCAGCAUAUAAGCCGGAGACAUGGAAAGGGGAAAGAGAAUGGAGCUAAUGUUUGCUAACUACAACCCAACUGCUAUGAACUAGAACUAGUGCAGAAUUUGAUCUUAUCCAAACUAUAACCUUAAAAGAUGUUAUUAUCCCCACUUUAUAAAUAACUGAGAUUCAAAGUUAAAAAAAAAAUCUUUCUCAAGUUACACAGCUAGAAAGUGCUUUUAGAUCCAAUCAGACUGGCCACACAGGACUCAUGAUCUUUCCAGAGCUUCUCUCUUGUGUAGUUGAUGACAUGGCACUAGUGGCACUAGUAGUGAUAGAACUAGCAAUGGCCUAAUCCAAAAUUGUCUCCCCUUGGGUGUGAAUGACAUAAGCAUGGAACAAAUACAGAGGCUGAGAUAUACAGUUUAUGAAAUAGCAACACACAUAUCUAGCUUAUAUGAAAAGCAACAUUGCCCAUCCUAAUCAUCCUAGGUUUCUCUUCCUUCAUGUAUCAUUUCCCUCCUCUAACUUGUAUGUAAGCUUCAAGAAGGAAAGCACUUUGCUUUGUUCACUGGUACAUACCCAGCUCCUAAAGAGUGCCUGGC